CUCACCCCAUCGCACACGGAAACCAGCGGCGGCAGCGCAGUAUGUGCUGCGGGCAGUUAGUUGGUUUCCCGGUGUGCUCCCGAAGGUAGCUCUGCAAGUGCAGAAACCCCUGACUCAGACCCGUCGGUCAGGCUCCUCCGGUGGGUCUGGGAAUCUCAGCAUCCGCCCUGCUCGGCCCCGCCUCUCCCCGCCUCUCCCCGCUCCCCACCUGCCGGCCACGCCCAGGCCACGCCCCCCCCCCCCCCCCCCCCGGCCCGCCGCCGCCGCCGCGCACAGGCGCUGGCGACCCCUAGUGGGAGAGAAGCCGGCGGGCGAGGAAGGAAGGACGAGGGUCCCCAGCAGGGUGACCAGCAUGGGGGAUCCUAGUUCCCCCACCAGGGAUUGAACCCGUGCCCCCUGCCUUGGAAGCGUGGAGUCUUAUCCACUGGACCACCAGGGAAUGUACUUUCUGAUGCAGCUUUGUCAGCAGAAGCACAGACAGGUGGAAAGGCCUGCAGACACAGGUGGCAGUUGGCCUACAAACUCCCCAGUCUGCCGGCUGGCUUGUGACUCUAAAAGGUGUCGCUGGAGCGAGGCCCGGGCCAGCCUGGAGGAGAAGCCCGACCACGGGAUGGCACGUGGGAGAGAGGACACAGAGACAGCCUCCCCUGCCGCCCAGCACUGCCUGUCUCCGCUCGUCUGUGAAUGGAGGUGAACAACCACACGCUCCUGUCCUGUCUUCACGUGCCAGCAUCUCGGCCGAGCCACUGAAAAGCCUGGUAUUUCAAGGGAAAGUAUAGAGGAAACAUCUUAAGGCCAACUGGUGCCUACCUCUCUCUCUCACCUUCCUGCAGUACAUACAACAAAUGAAUGUCUCCAAACCUCCGGAUCAAGCAACCCUCCAGACAAAACUUUCCCAAUCCCAUCUUCCAUGUUUAACAGGAAAAGCCAAUCACAAAAUGUGUACCAUGGAAUCCAACAUUCGAAUGUGAGCAAAGCUAAAAUGAUGCUCAGACACACAUGUAUGUGGUGAAACUAUAAAGAAAAGUGAGGGCUGAAAGAAACGCAGGGAAGGAGCUUCCUCUGGGGUGGGCGGGGGGUCAGUGAUCAGGAGGCCCCGAAGGGGCUUCAGUGGAACUGGUAGCAGUCCUACCUGGGGGCGGGUAUCUGUCACCUGUUUUAUCACUCUGUGUUGAACCUGUUUCUGCACAUGCAUGUCUGAUGGGAUUUCACAAGCGAAUGUUUAAAGUCAUACGUAAAAUCUCAAGUUCUCCUCUCCCCUCCAAACCCCCAAAGCAUAAACAGAACCAACCAAAACCAGAGAGACUAUAAACCACUAUAGCAUCGCUAAAUGUGAGGGAGCUCCCGAUGCCAGCCACCAGCAACCACGAUGCUGUGGCGGAGGUGCCAACACCAGCCGUCAGGGGAGGAAAGGGAAAGGGUGCCCCCAGUGCAGCCCUCGUAGGGUCCAGGGAGGGGAACCCCUGCCCUGAGGCUGCUCUGAGCAGCCGGGAGGCACCAGGUCCGUGGUGUGAUGCCAGGAGGGGAGCGGCCUGUGGGCUGUGCUGGCCUCAUCCCCCGAGCACAUCUGGCCCCCCUUCUCUGGGGCCGGGGCUGGUUCCAGGAAAGGAAAGACACAGGCCGAUGGGUGUUUGAAGCAGCUCGGCCUCCACUUCCGCCUGAAGCCUCUGGAUGCGCUGGCUCUCGGGGAGCCAUGCAAAGCCCCCGGGGUGUCUGGUCAUUUGUCACGUUAAUUUUUUUUUUUUUGGUCCAUUUUAUUUAUUUGGCUUCUGAACAAUGACGAUCUGAAAGUUCCUCUGAGUUCAUGAUUUAUCUGAGUCCUUUUUACAAUUUAUAUUUUUCUUAAGUAACUGAGACUAAACAAAUGCCUUCAUUUUAGAAAUUUUAGUAACACUGUCAUCUAAAAACAGGUAAAAAUAUGGCUCCUGCAUUGACAUUAGUUAGCACAGCCAUCUUCAAGCAGUAUUUUAAAACUUAAUUCCUGUUCAUAGGACAGUAAAAACGUUAGGCAAGAGACAAUUUUUCAAUAUCACUACUGCAAUGUAAUAUGUAUAAACCAGAUGCUUUAAGCCAUGGAACAAAUGCAGACUUUCUUUUCCCUGGAAUAUAAACAGGAUUCUAGGCUUACUCUAUUCAGUAGUAAGAGUUUAAGUGAUUUUUUUUCAAAGCCCUGAAAAGAAAACAUACUCUUUAUCUUCAUCGUCUGUAACACUGUUUUGUGUAUCUAGUUUUCAGUACCAGAAGGCUGUAAACUUUGCAUCAGCAAAAUCUAACUCAAUAAAAGCUUUAUAAGCAUUUGAAA